CAGUGGGAGCCUCUUAAUGGGGUGACUGCGUACCUUUUGUAUAAUGGGUCAGCGACUUAUAUUCUGUAGCAAGGUUAACCGAAUAGGGGAGCCGAAGGGAAACCGAGUCUUAACUGGGCGUUAAGUUGCAGGGUAUAGACCCGAAACCCGGUGAUCUAGCCAUGGGCAGGUUGAAGGUUGGGUAACACUAACUGGAGGACCGAACCGACUAAUGUUGAAAAAUUAGCGGAUGACUUGUGGCUGGGGGUGAAAGGCCAAUCAAACCGGGAGAUAGCUGGUUCUCCCCGAAAGCUAUUUAGGUAGCGCCUCGUGAAUUCAUCUCCGGGGGUAGAGCACUGUUUCGGCAAGGGGGUCAUCCCGACUUACCAACCCGAUGCAAACUGCGAAUACCGGAGAAUGUUAUCACGGGAGACACACGGCGGGUGCUAACGUCCGUCGUGAAGAGGGAAACAACCCAGACCGCCAGCUAAGGUCCCAAAGUCAUGGUUAAGUGGGAAACGAUGUGGGAAGGCCCAGACAGCCAGGAUGUUGGCUUAGAAGCAGCCAUCAUUUAAAGAAAGCGUAAUAGCUCACUGGUCGAGUCGGCCUGCGCGGAAGAUGUAACGGGGCUAAACCAUGCACCGAAGCUGCGGCAGCGACACUAUGUGUUGUUGGGUAGGGGAGCG
rnacentral:rRNA from 1 species